rnacentral:rRNA from 1 species
GCAGUCGAGCGCAGGAAGCUGACGGAACUCUUCGGAGGGAAGGCAGUGGAAUGAGCGGCGGACGGGUGAGUAACACGUAAGGAACCUGCCUCAAGGAUUGGGAUAACUCCGAGAAAUCGGAGCUAAUACCGGAUAGUUCAACGGACCGCAUGGUCCGCUGAUGAAAGGCGCUCCGGCGUCACCUUGAGAUGGCCUUGCGGUGCAUUAGCUAGUUGGUGGGGUAACGGCCCACCAAGGCGACGAUGCAUAGCCGACCUGAGAGGGUGAUCGGCCACACUGGGACUGAGACACGGCCCAGACUCCUACGGGAGGCAGCAGUAGGGAAUCUUCCACAAUGGACGAAAGUCUGAUGGAGCAACGCCGCGUGAGUGAUGAAGGUUUUCGGAUCGUAAAACUCUGUUGUAAGGGAAGAACACGUACGAGAGGGAAUGCUCGUACCUUGACGGUACCUUACGAGAAAGCCACGGCUAACUACGUGCCAGCAGCCGCGGUAAUACGUAGGUGGCAAGCGUUGUCCGGAAUUAUUGGGCGUAAAGCGCGCGCAGGCGGCCUUUUAAGUCUGAUGUGAAAGCCCCCGGCUCAACCGGGGAGGGCCAUUGGAAACUGGAAGGCUUGAGUACAGAAGAGAAGAGUGGAAUUCCACGUGUACCGGUGAAAUGCGUA